AUUGAACGCUGGCGGAAUGCUUUACACAUGCAAGUCGAACGGUAGAGGGGCAACCCUUGAGAGUGGCGAACGGGUGAGUAAUGUAUCGGAACAGGCCCAGUCGUGGGGGAUAACGUAGCGAAAGUUACGCUAAUACCGCAUACGAUCUAUGGAUGAAAGCGGGGGAUCGCAAGACCUCGCGCGAUUGGAGUGGCCGAUAUCAGAUUAGGUAGUUGGUGGGGUAAAGGCCUACCAAGCCGACGAUCUGUAGCUGGUCUGAGAGGACGACCAGCCACACUGGGACUGAGACACGGCCCAGACUCCUACGGGAGGCAGCAGUGGGGAAUUUUGGACAAUGGGCGCAAGCCUGAUCCAGCCAUUCCGCGUGCAGGAAGAAGGCCUUCGGGUUGUAAACUGCUUUUGUACGGAACGAAAUGCGCUGAGCUAAUACCUCGGCGUAAUGACGGUACCGUAAGAAUAAGCACCGGCUAACUACGUGCCAGCAGCCGCCGUAACAC
rnacentral:rRNA from 1 species